rnacentral:tRNA from 3 species
GGAAGUGUGGCCGAGCGGUUGAAGGCACCGGUCUUGAAAACCGGCGACCCGGAAGGGUUCCAGAGUUCGAAUCUCUGCGCUUCCGCCA